ensembl:lncRNA
GAGCUAUCGCUCUGAUGUCUGUCAUCUUAAACCCUGUUUUCCAGAGGGUGUGACAUGCUCAGCAGUCUUGCUAGCUCACACGCUUUGGGCUGAGAAAAAUCAGUUUCAGCCUCUUUUCUUCAGAACCAGACUGCUGUAUUCAAAGUGGUGGCACGUGUGUGCUUUGACCUCUUCCUUUCCCUGAAGUCAUCGUAAUAAGCGCCCGACAGUAAAACUGUCAGUAUGUAAAAGCAGUGAUUUCUCAUCAUAAUGGUCUGUUGUUUCCAACUCGGUCGCUUCUGUGGUACAAAAUCAAAAUGGUCCCAGGGAGGUUCGAAUGGAGCUGUGCGGCUGUGGCUGCAGUGACAGGAGCCCAUCUGCACCUCGUGGGACCGUGUAACACAAGGAAACACAACACGUGCAGUGCUCCUUCACUUCCAAUUCAGCUGUGCCUUCAGUGGGCUUUGCUUAGUACUUUAUUUGGUCUAUGUUCAUUUGCUAACAAAGUUGUUUUCACAUCUGGAAGCACUGCCAAGUACAAAUCACAAAUCAAAAGGAGAAGGGUGCAUUUCAAGAGGAAAUACCACCUUGAUGGUGAGAGAUCUGAAUGCUUGAGAGAUAUGAAAGAGGGAAUGUAACCAAGGGGUGAGCAGUGUGAUGGAAGGAUUUGCUGCAGAAUCACAUCACAUCUGCGUUAACUUGGAGCCAAUGUUCCUUUGUGCUUCAACAUUGCUGGAUGAAAAUUCCUGACUUCAGAGUGUGUGGAGGUGAAGAUUAGCAAAAGCUACGUUAGGAUUCAGGCGGUGCUGCCAGCUGCAUGCUUAAAAAGAGAUUCUGUGGAGAGAACGCUUGUCUCCUGCACAUGGAAGGACCUUUGGAAAAGAAUAAGAAACGGGCAAUGGUUUCAGUGCCUCCACCCCUCGAAGGAAACAAACAAACAAAAACCCCAAACCCACCCAAGCGUGAAUUAUUUCAGUCUGCCGCACACAUUGUGAGUCUGAACACGUCUGCAGCGACGGGAUUCCCCUUCUCGACCAUUGCUUCUACAGCAACACGAGGACUUUGUGCUCUCAGCUUGCAUUUUCUAUUAUUAACAGCUCUGACUUCCUGCUAUGUAAAUUCUGGCUUAGGCCCCUCAAAACCCCAAAGGAAGCGCUCAGACUCCAGGUAGUGCCCCCCUGUGUGCCGCUCACAGCCCGGCAGUCGGAGCUGCCGCAGAGCCCAG